GUGGGGAAUAUUGGACAAUGGGGGGAACCCUGAUCCAGCCAUGCCGCGUGUGUGAAGAAGGCCUUUUGGUUGUAAAGCACUUUAAGCGAGGAGGAGGCUACCGAGAUUAAUACUCUUGGAUAGUGGACGUUACUCGCAGAAUAAGCACCGGCUAACUCUGUGCCAGCAGCCGCGGUAAUACAGAGGGUGCAAGCGUUAAUCGGAUUUACUGGGCGUAAAGCGCGCGUAGGUGGCCAAUUAAGUCAAAUGUGAAAUCCCGAGCUUAACUUGGGAAUUGCAUUCGAUACUGGUUGGCUAGAGUAUGGGAGAGGAUGGUAGAAUUCCAGGUGUAGCGGUGAAAUGCGUAGAGAUCUGGAGGAAUACCGAUGGCGAAGGCAGCCAUCUGGCCUAAUACUGACACUGAGGUGCGAAAGCAUGGGGAGCAAACAGGAUUAGAAACCCCAGUAGUCC
rnacentral:rRNA from 1 species